rnacentral:rRNA from 1 species
GACGAACGCUGGCGGCGUGCUUAACACAUGCAAGUCGAACGGAAAGGCCCUGCUUUUGUGGGGUUCUCGAGUGGCGAACGGGUGAGUAACACGUGAGUAACCUGCCCUUGACUUUGGGAUAACUUCAGGAAACUGGGGCUAAUAUCGGAUAUGAGCUCCUGCUGCAUGUGGGUGGUUGGAAAGUUUCGGCGGUUGGGGAUGGACUCGCGGGUUAUCAGCUUGUUGGUGUGGUAGGGGUUUACCAAGGCUUUGACGGGUAGCCGGCCUGGGAGGGUGAACGGCGACAAUGGGACUGCGAGACGGACCAGAAGGCUACGGGAGGCAGCAGUGGGGAAUUUUGCACAAUGGGCGGACGUCUGAUGCAGCAACGCCGGGUGCGGGAUGACGGCCUUCGGGUUGUAAACCGCUUUCGCCUGUGACGAAGCGUGAGUGACGGUAAUGGGUAAAGAAGCACCGGCUAACUACGUG